rnacentral:misc_RNA from 1 species
GAAAUGCGAUAAGUAAUGUGAAUUGCAGAAUUCAGUGAAUCAUCGAAUCUUUGAACGCACAUUGCGCCCGCCAGUAUUCUGGCGGGCAUGCCUGUUCGAGCGUCAUUUCAACCAUCAAGCCCCCGGGCUUGUGUUGGGGACCUGCGGCUGCCCGCAGGCCCUGAAAACCAGUGGCGGGCUCGCUAGUCACACCGAGCGUAGUAGCAAUCACCUCGCUCAGGGCGUGCUGCGGGUUCCGGCCGUUAAGGAGCCUUACAAACCCAAGGUUGACCUCGGAUCAGGUAGGAAGACCCGCUGAACUUAAGC